rnacentral:pre_miRNA from 1 species
GGGGAACUUGGUUAGACCUGGCUCAGACCUCAGCUCCACAAGCUGAUGGACGGAGUCAGGGGACCAAAGCUCUCC